GUCUACGGCCAUACCACCCUGAACGCGCCCGAUCUUGUCUGAUCUCGGAAGCUAAGCAGGGUGGGGCCUGGUUAGUACUUGGAUGGAAAGGUGACAUGUGAACAAUAGAAGGAGUACUUA
rnacentral:rRNA from 1 species